AUGACUCAUAACGAGCAUUUAGCUCUAGAGGAAGGGGCGAUUACAGAAUCUUCAGAGAAGAAUAAACAGUUAUGGACCUGUCUGUGGAAGCUCAAAGUUCUACCUAAGGUGCGUGUGUUUUGGUGGAGGGUCCUCCGUGGCAUCCUUCCAGUGGAAAAGACACUAAAACACAGACAUAUUGCAACCUUGGCAAGAUGCAAGGUGUGCAUUGGCGCAGAUGAAGAUAUGAUGCAUGCUUUGAUCAAGUGUUCACAUGCUCAAUCUUUCUGGACAGAAGCAAGAGAAUGGCUACAUAUCAAGCUACCGGAGCUACACCCUCUGACUUGGUGUAGGGAUAUUCUUUGCGACUCUAGGUUCUCAGAGAGUGACCGGGCAAAAUUUGUUACGGUCAUGUGGGCUAUUUGGACCUCACGCAACAACAUAACGCAUGACAAAGCAAGUAUGAGCCCGGCGCAAUCACUCAAACGUAUAAGAGAAACUCUCUCCUUGUUGGAGUUACCUUUGGAACAGACGAAGGUUCUACCUGGCUAUGGUUGGAAGCCACCGGAUCAAGGCUGGACGAAGAUAAACACAGAUGCUAGUGUUUCAGCGCUUGAACAUAGAAGUGGAGCUGGAGGAGUGGCACGGACUUCCUUGACCUUCUUGGCUGCCUGGAGUAAGCCCUACACCCACAUCACGGACCCGUUGAUUGCCGAGGCGUCUGCUCUAUGA
rnacentral:rRNA from 1 species